UAGUCUAGUUGGUUAGGAUACUCGGCUCUCACCCGAGAGACUCGGGUUCAAUUCCUGG
rfam:Ipomoea nil DNA, scaffold: scaffold3056, cultivar: Tokyo-kokei standard.